GAUGAACGCUGGCGGCGUGCCUAAUACAUGCAAGUCGAGCGAACGGACGAGAAGCUUGCUUUUCUGAUGUUAGCGGCGGACGGGUGAGUAACACGUGGAUAACCUACCUAUAAGACUGGGAUAACUUCGGGAAACCGGAGCUAAUACCGGAUAAUAUUUUGAACCGCAUGGUUCAAAAGUGAAAGACGGUCUUGCUGUCACUUAUAGAUGGAUCCGCGCUGCAUUAGCUAGUUGGUAAGGUAACGGCUUACCAAGGCAACGAUGCAUAGCCGACCUGAGAGGGUGAUCGGCCACACUGGAACUGGGACACGGUCCAGACUCCUACGGGAGGCAGCAGUAGGGAAUCUUCCGCAAUGGGCGAAAGCCUGACGGAGCAACGCCGCGUGAGCGAUGAAGGUCUUCGGAUCGUAAAACUCUGUUAUUAGGGAAGAACAUAUGUGUAAGUAACUGUGCACAUCUUGACGGUACCUAAUCAGAAAGCCACGGCUAACUACGUG
rnacentral:rRNA from 1 species